UACGAAGGGGGCUAGCGUUGUUCGGAUUUACUGGGCGUAAAGCGCACGUAGGCGGAUCGAUCAGUCAGGGGUGAAAUCCCAGAGCUCAAUCUGGAACUGCCUUUGAUACUGUCGAUCUGGAGUAUGGAAGAGGUGAGUGGAAUUCCGAGUGUAGAGGUGAAAUUCGUAGAUAUUCGGAGGAACACCAGUGGCGAAGGCGGCUCACUGGUCCAUUACUGACGCUGAGUGCGAAAGCGUGGGGAGCAA
rnacentral:rRNA from 1 species